UCCUGGGUAUUUCACCAAUUAUACUUGAGGUGCCACCAGUUUUUUAAGGCUAGGAGAAAACCGUAAACAACCGCAUCAAAAAUUCAAGAAAAAUAUUGUCAGAAAAAAUCACUGUUGCUAGAGAAAGAUUACCAUCAAGAACAAUAACUUUGGAAAAAUGAAUAAAUCAUAAGGAUUUGAGUUGAAAUUAUAUCAUUAACAACAAUCAGAUCGAGUGCGAUUUCAACAACACUAAUAAAAUCCAAUAUACCUUCCAAUUUUGUUGAUGAAGAAGUUGAGCAGAAAUCUCUGCAACACACGAUAAAUUGGUGCCAAGGGGGUGAUGAAUGCGUCUCCCUUUCUGCCUCUCCGUCACAUAAAUUGUUACCAAUUUUUAGGGUAAUUCCGAGUUGGAAAACCUUAGCCGCUUGUUCCCUUCGCCAUGUGAAAUAAGAGUUAAACUGGUUUGGUACUACUUUAGA
rnacentral:lncRNA from 1 species